GGUGAUUGGUAUAUUUGCUCAGAUAAUUACAGAUCCUGUACAUAGCAACCUUCCAAUGUCCCACCUCGAUACACUUGUGUUGUCUUUUUUUUCCCCAACUAGACUUGAGUUCUGUGAGGGUAAAAGCUAUACCUUCCUACUUCUUUUGAAUUCCUUCACAGAAUGAGUCUUCCAAACACCCAGCUAGCUCUGGAAAUGUGUACAUCAACCUCAUUAGAUAUGUGGACAUCCCUGGAAAGUAUAUGCCAAGAGAUGACUGUAAUGAUCCUAAGAGGUGAAUGCUACCUAGUAAGUUUGUUACUGAGAUAGUUUGGGAGGCAGGAGAAAUCAUCCAAAUAUGGACUUUACUGUCCAGAAGAUCUAUACUCAAGUCAUGUCCGUGACAAACACCGGAUGUAUGACAACUUCUUAGUGUCUUUAACAAAUAAAAAGUGGUCUGGGGGCUCA
rnacentral:lncRNA from 1 species